UACGUAGGUGGCUAGCGUUGUCCGGAUUUACUGGGCGUAAAGAGCGCGCAGGCGGUCGUUCAAGUCGAGUGUGAAAGCCCCCGGCUCAACUGGGGAGGGUCACUCGAUACUGAUCGACUUGAAGGCAGGAGAGGGAAGCGGAAUUCCCGGUGUAGUGGUGAAAUGCGUCGAUAUCGGGAGGAACACCAGUGGCGAAGGCGGCUUCCUGGCCUGUUCUUGACGCUGAGGCGCGAAAGCUAGGGGAGCAAACGGG
rnacentral:rRNA from 1 species